CCUACGGGAGGCAGCAGUGGGGAAUAUUGCACAAUGGGGGGAACCCUGAUGCAGCGACGCCGCGUGAGUGAAGAAGUAUCUCGGUAUGUAAAGCUCUAUCAGCAGGGAAGAAAAUGACGGUACCUGACUAAGAAGCCCCGGCUAACUACGUGCCAGCAGCCGCGGUAAUACGUAGGGGGCAAGCGUUAUCCGGAUUUACUGGGUGUAAAGGGAGCGUAGACGGCAGAGCAAGUCUGAAGUGAAAGCCCGGGGCCCAACUGCGGGACUGCUGUGGAAACUGCCCGGCUAGAGUGCUGGAGAGGUAAGCGGAAUUCCUAGUGUAGCGGUGAAAUGCGUAGAUAUUAGGAGGAACCCCAGUGGCGAAGGCGGCUUACUGGACAGUAACUGACGUUGAGGCUCGAAAGCGUGGGGAGCAAACAGGAUUAGAUACCCGAGUAGUC
rnacentral:rRNA from 1 species